AGUUUGAUCGGCUCCAGAUUGAACGCUGGCGGGAUGCUUUACGCCGCAAGUCGAACGGCGGCACGGACUUCGGUCUGGUGGCGAGUGGCGAACAGGUGAGUAAUGUAUCGGAACGUGCCUAGUAGCGGGGGAUAACUACGCGAAAGCGUAGUUAAUACCGCAUACGCCCUUCGAAGGGGAAAGCGGGGGACCUUCGGGCCUCGCACUAUUAGAGCGGCCGAUAUCGGAUUAGCUAGUUGGUGGGGUAACGGCUCACCAAGGCGACGAUCCGUAGCUGGUUUGAGAGGACGACCAGCCGCAGGACUGAGACACGGCCCAGACUCCUACGGGAAAUAGCAGUGGGGAA
rnacentral:misc_RNA from 1 species